CUGGAAUGAUGUUGCUUAGCCAAAUCAGACAAAGAUGUGCUCCACAAGGCAAUGUCUUCAAAGCUUGUGUUAGCUGUUCCUCUAGA